rnacentral:rRNA from 1 species
UACGGAGGGGGCUAGCGUUGUUCGGAAUUACUGGGCGUAAAGCGCACGUAGGCGGCUUUGUAAGUUAGAGGUGAAAGCCCGGGGCUCAACUCCGGAACUGCCUUUAAGACUGCAUCGCUUGAAUCAUGGAGAGGUCAGUGGAAUUCCGAGUGUAGAGGUGAAAUUCGUAGAUAUUCGGAAGAACACCAGUGGCGAAGGCGACUGACUGGACAUGUAUUGACGCUGAGGUGGCGAAAGCGUGGGGAGCAAACAGG